AGUGAACGCUGGCGGUAGGCCUAACACAUGCAAGUCGAACGGCAGCACAGUAAGAGCUUGCUCUUACGGGUGGCGAGUGGCGGACGGGUGAGGAAUACAUCGGAAUCUACUUUUUCGUGGGGGAUAACGUAGGGAAACUUACGCUAAUACCGCAUACGACCUACGGGUGAAAGCAGGGGAUCUUCGGACCUUGCGCGAUUGAAUGAGCCGAUGUCGGAUUAGCUAGUUGGCGGGGUUAAGGCCCACCAAGGCGACGAUCCGUAGCUGGUCUGAGAGGAUGAUCAGCCACACUGGAACUGAGACACGGUCCAGACUCCUACGGGAGGCAGCAGUGGGGAAUAUUGGACAAUGGGCGCAAGCCUGAUCCAGCCAUACCGCGUGGGUGAAGAAGGCCUUCGGGUUGUAAAGCCCUUUUGUUGGGAAAGGAAAGCAGCAGGUUAAUACCCCGCUGUUCUGACGGUACCCAAAGAAUAAGCACCGGCUAACUUCGUG
rnacentral:rRNA from 1 species